rnacentral:lncRNA from 1 species
CUGGUUACUGUUUGUCUGCCGGGCAGCUCUGCUGUCAGGCCAAGGCAUGCGAAGAUGAAUGCUGAUGGGGUGUUGCUAUUAGCUGCAUCGUCACUUUAAUUCAGAUGUCGGCAUGUCAGUCUAUUCCAUAUGUGUUUGUAUGGCAGGAUGUAGAGGAGGGGAAAUCUGAAGCGGCAGCCGUAAGAGAAGCAGAAAGUAAAGCGAGUCAGACAAGGACAGCACUAAAGGGAAGCUCUCAAGCAAGUCACAGCGUAUCAGGAACCUCACAGCCGGCAUCUACAGACGGCCUGUCGGGACUUGGUGCCUCUCUCUUUCCUCAGACGCUAGGUGGCGACGGUGGCAGGGUGUUCAAGUGGUUUGUUCAGGGAAUGGAGAAGGUAAUUCCACAGCCUCUGGCCAGAGGGAAGCAAGAUGCUCAGGCUGCAGAAGUUGCAACCUUGUGCCCAGUGGAAGAGAGGGGGGAAGGGGCUUAGGGCCUCUGAAACAAAUGGAAAAUGAAGACCUUGGAGAACCUCCCUUGCCCAAAAUAAAGCGAAACCAGCCUGAAGAGAAAACA